AUACGGAGGGUCCAAGCGUUAUCCGGAUUCAUUGGGUUUAAAGGGUGCGCAGGCGGAUAAUUAAGUCAGUGGUGAAAUCCUCCCGCUCAACGGGAGAACUGCCAUUGAUACUGAUAAUCUGGAAUACGGUUGAAGUGGGCGGAAUGUAGCAUGUAGCGGUGAAAUGCAUAGAGAUGCUACAGAACACCGAUCGCGAAGGCAGCUCACUAAGCCGAUAUUGACGCUCAGGCACGGAAGCGUGGGUAGCGAACAGGAUUAGAAACCCCAGUAGUCC
rnacentral:rRNA from 1 species